rnacentral:rRNA from 1 species
GCGGCCGAUUAGGUAGUUGGUUAGGUAAUGGCUUACCAAGCCGUUGAUCGGUACGGGUUGUGAGAGCAAGAGCCCGGAGAUGGAACUGAGACAAGGUUCCAGGCCCUACGGGGUGCAGCAGGCGCGAAACCUCCGCAAUGUGAGAAAUCGCGACGGGGGGAUCCCAAGUGCCAUUCUUAACGGGAUGGCUUUUCAUUAGUGUAAAAAGCUUUUGGAAUAAGAGCUGGGCAAGACCGGUGCCAGCCGCCGCGGUAACACCGGCAGCUCUAGUGGUAGCAAUUUUUAUUGGGCCUAAAGCGUCCGUAGCCGGUUUAAUAAGUCUCUGGUGAAAUCCUGUAGCUUAACUGUGGGAAUUGCUGGAGAUACUAUUAGACUUGAGACCGGGAGAGGUUAGAGGUACUCCCAGGGUAGAGGUGAAAUUCUGUAAUCCUGGGAGGACCGCCUGUUGCGAAGGCGUCUAACUGGAACGGUUCUGACGGUGAGGGACGAAAGUUAGGGGCGCGAACCGGAUUAGAUACCCGGGUAGUCCUAACUGUAAACGAUGCGGACUUGGUGUUGGGGUGGCUUUGAGCUGCUCCAGUGCCGAAGGGAAGCUGUUAAGUCCGCCGCCUGGGAAGUACGGUCGCAAGACUGAAACUUAA